rnacentral:rRNA from 2 species
UUCGGUGGCCAAAGCGAGAGGGUCACACCCGUUCCCAUCCCGAACACGGAAGUUAAGCCUCUCAGCGCCGAUGGUACUUGGGACGAUUGUCCCUGGGAGAGUAGGACGCCGCCGGAU